CACCUCCCCGAGGGCCCAAGCGAGAGAGACAGGCAAGGAAACCAAGAAAUACCUGGGGGCCCACAGUGGGGAGCAGCGUGGCGGGCAGGGGACAGUUGGGGUCAGAAAUGGCCUUUCUGAGGGAGUGGGCUAAGACUUAGGAGGCGGCCUGGCCCGGUGCUGGCGGGGACACCUGCGUCUCUCUGGGCCCCUCUCUGGGCCUCAGGGUUCCCACCUGUAAAAUGGCAGACACAAGGGCUGCUUUUGCCGAGGCGGUACACGAACAGCCCUCAGCCUGGCCUGGCACAGAGUAAAAACCCCCACAGGUGGGAUUUGGUGUUUCCACUGCUACCUCCAGCAGACUGGGCUGUCUCCUCCCUCAGACUCAGCUCCCAGGAGAAAGGCAGUUGAAUCCCUGCCAUCAGACUCAGGUGUCUGAGGGCAGGGGCUGCACCUCCCACCACAGACCACAGACACCUGACACUCACCUGGGAGGGGGGACAUUCUUAUUCCCAUCCUGCUUAUGGAAAACCUCAUGGUCUUUUGUUAAGUCGAUCAACAAACGCGUAUCGACCACCUGUUGUGGACAGCACACUGCGCUGGGCACUGGGCACAGCAGAGAGCAAAACAGAGAGAAACCCUUGCUUUGUAUCAAUCCCUGCAUCUGUGUCUGCAGGGGAGUGAGCAAAUAGUGCCCCAAACCCUGUUAAACUUAAGAGCAUUGCCUUCCAGCCAACAGGUGUUUCUGGAACAUCUAUUACCCGCCAGGCACCCUUCCAGGUACCGGGAAUAUAAGGGACAGCGGAGGAAUACAGAUUCCUGCCUUCUGUGAGCUCCGGGAACAAGACAAGAUCACAGCUUGGGACAGAGGGACGUUCAGGCCCUUCACUGUUUUCCCAGCUGACCAGACUGGGGCCUGCCUCGGGGCUUUCGCACUUACCGUUCCCUCUGCCUGGAAUGCUUCCCACCAUUUAAGUCUCAGCUCACAUGUCACCUCCUAAGAAGACCCCCUUCCAGCUGCCCAUUCAAGUGGUGUUCACCAAGGGCGUUCACGCCUCCCGUCUUGUGAUCCUCCAACACUGUGCCCUGUUCUGGAUCCUUCUGGGCCCCAGCACGGUUUGUUAUGUUCUGUUUUGACAGGAUCACGAUGAGGCUGUGUGGGGACAGAGCCUAUCCCUGGCAGAGCCAGGCACACAGAAAAAGCUGAGAAGCAGCGCUGGGACCCGGGAUUGCUCAGACCACCUUAAAUCAGCCUCGCCGCCUCAGCUACUGUGGAAAUUCCUUUCUCCGCGGUGGUUGGCUGGGUGUGCCAGCCAAUCCUCCCGCGGCGCUCCCACAUGGGUCCAUGACAUCACAAUGGGCACUGGCCAAUGGAAAUCAAGAAACCCGCGACCAAUGGCAGGAGGCUCUAGGAUCGGCUGGGCCAAUCGGAAGGCUGCCAGCGGGGAGUGCGGGUCGCCCCCUCCCUUGGAGACGCUGAGAGCCUCGUGGACACCAGAGCGCACCAGGAGUGGGGGUUGGGGGGGAUCCGGUCCGUUUAGUAUCCGAAAAUCCGGAGACGCCAGCCACCCCCUGAGCCUGGCGAGUCUCUCCUUAAAAGCAGGAGCCCCUCGUCCAACAAAGUGCCUUGAAAAAGCCCGGCCAGCUGGCGGGGCCCACUAGGCGCCUUUCGCCCUAUUUCACAGAUGGGUAAACCGAGGCAGACUUCAGCUCAAGCUGGACACCUCCCACCUCCAAUCCCCGGGAAGAGCGGAGACUCUCAGCCGGGACUGGAGGCCCCUGGCACGACUCAGCUUUUGUUUCCAGGCCCCGCGGGGGGAGGAUAAGCCUACGUGUAGGCGGAGGGGAGGGACGUGCGCGUUUCCGUGCCUCAGUUUCCCUGAGCGCAAACGGGAGAGGAGGCGGCCGCGGGGUUCUCGGAAAGACUACGAUCCCCAGAAGCUCCCGCGCGGCGCCCGCCCGGGCUGUCAAUCAAAGUAACGUGGGUCCCUCUCCCGGCCCGCGCUCCCCCGCCCGCCGCCUCACUCCUGCCAGCUCCCGCUCCCUCCCCGCCGGCUCCGGGCCCGGCGCGGUAUAAUUACAGCCCAUUGAUCCGACCCGGGCCGGGAAAGCGGCUCCCUCGGGGAGGCCAGGCCUUUGGCUUCCGACUUCGCCAACCUCAGCCUACCGCCCCCGCCCCCAGCCGAGCUCCUGGGCCACCAGCCAGGCCUGUCCCCUCCUGAGGGCCAGGGCUCUCAGGUGACCUCGGAGCCUCUGUUCCUGCCAAGGUUGGCGGUGAGCCCCCCUCAGAAGAAUCACACACGUUAACUUCCACCUGGGAACGUGGGGAGGCCUCCCCCUUGUUCUAGCGCCCCCCACCGUGACCUUAAGACUUGCGCGCCUCUCUCUGAGCCUCGGUUUGCUCACCUGUAUUGUGAGAUAGUUGGGCCAGACUUGUUCGUGAAACCAG